CGCCGGGCGCAGCAAGGGCCAGACUCUGCGCUAGCAGGCGCUGCGCGCCAACCGGCCGGCACCUGUCGCAGAAGGUGCAACCGAUCGCACUGUCGCGCAGAAGCUCCUCAAUGGCCAGCGCCAGCUGCAGCCCCGGCCGCCCACUCGCCUCAUCUGAGCCUGGGCAAAUCUGGAUUGGGAAAGUUGACAUUAAUCAACUCAUUAUUCCUCACAGAUUUGUAUUCUCCAGAGUAUCCAGGUCCUUCUCAGAGAAUUAAAAAGCCUGUACAGCGCUGCUCUAAGCUGUUGAUGAAAAAUAUUGUUGGUGAGCUCUGCUUAGGUAAUAUAUAGGACAUGAGCAGAGAGGAGGCACGUGAACAGUUCUGGCCUGGAGUAGGCUUCAUUGAGGCUGUGAUGCUUUUAGCUGGAUUUGAAGAAGUGGUAGUGAUCAUCCCAGUGCACAGGAUAGGUGGACAGUCUAUGUAUUCUGAGCAGUAACUCAUAUAUCUCAUACUGCAAGACCCCAAAGGAGUAAUUUUGUGAACUCUGUUCACGGAAAGGGCCUGGGAGCUGCAACACCUCAACAGCAACAAGCACACCUGCUACCUAGAACUUGGUUUCUAAAAACCAUCCUCCUCUAAAAGGAAACAGAGCUCUUUGAAGAAACGGUAUUCUAAUAAUACUGCGUGACAUUACGGACAACUUAGCCUAAAUUAUGGAAAAUCAAAUUAUUUAGUAGAACUGCAAGACAAUCCUCUCAGUUGUUGUACAGAAGGUAAGCAUGAGCAAAUUACUUUUUAGAGGUAACUUUGCUGAACUUGUGAAGAAUGGUGUGCAAGGUCCAGAGCGACUGCAGGAGAGGGAAGGUGGGAUUCCCACAGAGCAGGAGCACAGAUAAGCCAAGCAAGGCCCUGCUUGGAAGGCAGCAAUCAACAGAGAUGCACAGACCUGUGAGGGUGCCGGGACAGCCAUGCAACAAUGCAGCCCUUUUGCUUCCUGAGCUCACCAGUUCCCUCGCUCCACCUCUGAGAGGUGGUUUGGAGAAACACAGCCCUUCUCAAGAGGGCUGCAAGCUACUUAAGUCCUGAAAAUUUCCACAAGGCUGAGUCAAAUCUGCGUUUCAUCAUCUAUAAGAAAGGUACCUAUCGAGAACACCCUGCUGGCCAGUGUGUAAAUAUCUAAAGGAGGACUCAGAAAACACCGGGGAAGUCCAGCCUGCACGUGGUGGCUGGGCUUCAGUGAAGCAUGCAGCACAACAGGAGUUGUAAGUAGUAGUUACAUCAGCAGCCCUGGAAAUUCUGCUCAGAACCAAACUGAACAAAUAACAUUAUCUAAGGCUUACAAUUAUUUAACUCCCUAAAUUUUCUGUCCUCCCAGUAGCACUUUCAAAUGCCUAAAAGCAAUUAAAAGAAACAUUUUUCCAAU
rnacentral:lncRNA from 1 species